rnacentral:tRNA from 1 species
GGGGCGGUAACUCAACUGGUAGAGUGCCAGCUUUGCAAGCUGGAAGUUGUCGGUUCGAGUCCGAUCCGCUCCA